AGGCUUGGUCACCUUCCUCUUCAGGUUUCCCCAAGUCAGAGACAGCUGGAGGUGUAGUUUGGGGUGGGGGAGAACAAUCAGAAGGUUUUCUUACACAAUCCAAUUUUAGUCUGAAUGACCCGGGGAUGACUCCUAGCUGACUCUCCCCCUGGAAAUCAGGUUUCCUUAGCUAGACCCAUUUGAAAAUCCAGAACACAUGAAGACAGCUACACGUUUUUCCUAGACAGGGUAUACAAGGUGGUCUUCCGGGGAGGGGUUCAUCUCCUCUCAUCUUUUCCUUCACCUCCCAGCCCCUGUCACUUUAAGGUUACUGCUUAAAGUUUGGAUUUAAACCUGAGAUGGGAUCCCAGGAGCCAUGGCCAUGACUGGACUUUACUAGCUGUCUGGCACUCCGCCUGGUUCUCUGCCAAGGUCCCUUUCUGAUUCUGGGUGAUUCCAGCCUCGACCCCGCAGCGCUAGCUCUUCCUCAUCUCCCAGACCUGUAACCUGCUCUCU
rnacentral:lncRNA from 1 species